rnacentral:tRNA from 4 species
GCGGGCAUAGUUUAGUGGCAGAACGACUGCUUCCCAAGCAGUAAGCGCGAGUUCGAUUCUCGCUGCCCGCA